rnacentral:lncRNA from 1 species
AAUUAGUGGAGAUAAUUUGGCUUGCAAUUACCCGUGAAUGCAAGCAGCCCCACAAAGUACACCAUGUGAUAUGUGGUACCGCAUCCGAUGGUCCUCAAGGAGUGGGCAUGUGAUGCCGACCUGUUACCCAUGCAAUGUGCGACAGCUAGGACAUUACGAUUCGUGCGAGGCUGUUGUUUGCGCUAUCAGACGAGUUUGUGACAAAUUGGGCUAAACAAGGGCGUAACUCGAUCGGAGGUUUGUGUUUGGAUCGGAGAAGGAAGCCACCCGGCCCAUGGUUUUGAUGCUGAUCGGUGUCAUCUUUUGGUCGAGCUGGAGAGAGAAACUCAUGCAUUUUCUAAAGAAACAAACAUCUAUUAGGUCGGUUGCUGCAGAAUGUAUGUAGAUGAUUUUCUCAUUUUGGUCCAAUCUCUGUAGUGCAAAGUUACUCACAACAUGCAAAAAAUCUGACACAAGAUCGGUUGAUUACAAGACCUGUUGAGUGGCAGCUGACUUUGCCGAAUCUUACCUAAAUGGAUGAAUUCGUUUCACUUCAUUGUCGUCAUUCAAGUGGUUUGUUGGUUUCAACUGUUUGGAAGCGUCACCUUUUUAUCCUGCGGAUAACUUCACUGUGAAUGAUGCCUCAGUUAUCUUUGUUAAUCCGUGUUUUGCUCCUAGCUGAUAGCAAAUUGGGCUUCUAUUUUCUAUGUUUUUAAUCUGUUGUAAAUUUUAUCUCUGUCAAUCUCUGCUCUUUAUAUCUCUCUCUCUCUUCUUGUAAAUACUUUGAUUAUCAAUAAAAGAUGGG